rnacentral:tRNA from 1 species
AGGGAGAUAGGUUAACGUAGACCGGAGAGUCUUCAAAACUCACAGUAUUGGUUCAAGUCCAGUUCUCCUUG